rnacentral:rRNA from 1 species
AUGUCCAUGUGCUGGCGGUGGAGGAGGCGGAGGACGGCUCAACUCGAGGUGGCACAUCCUUGCGUCGGGGUCGUCGACGGGGAUCAAUUGACCACCGGCAUGCAGCGGCUCAGGUCCGGACUGCUGCGCGGCCAUGGGGCCAUGGCCAGGCGGAUCCACAACGCCCGUGUCAACGAGAGCGUCGUCCUAGACAUCUACUCCUUCAACACGCUGAUCCGGGGCUGCGGGCAGGUGAUCUGGAGCGUGCACGGAAGGUGUUCGAUGGUCCGUUCUUUGGGCAGUUAUGAAGAAAAGUGUGGAUUAUGCUAUUCUCUGUUCCGAUUCUUGCACCUGUUGGUUUUUUACUUUCAGAGCUCUGGAAAAUAUGAGAUGAACUUACCUAACAUGCAGAAACCUGGAUGCGGGAAGGGCUCUGCGGUAGAUCAAUCAAGGGAACAGACUAUUGGAGCAGUGAAAAAGAAAAUGAAGGAACAGAUGGAUGAUUUUCAGGAGUACCAGGAAGUCGUUGAAAGAAGGGUAUUCACUGUAACUGGUAAUCGCCUUGAUGAAGAGGAGAGAACGACAAAAAUAGAUGUACAAGCAAGCAGAAAACAAGAAGGAAAUUGA